rnacentral:rRNA from 1 species
AUUGAACGCUGGCGGCAUGCCUUACACAUGCAAAGUCGAACGGCAGCACGGGAGCUUGCUCCUGGUGGCGAGUGGCGAACGGGUGAGUAAUACAUCGGAACGUACCCUGAAGUGGGGGAUAACGUAGCGAAAGUUACGCUAAUACCGCAUAUUCUGUGAGCAGGAAAGAGGGGGAUCGCAAGACCUCUUGCUUUAGGAGCGGCCGAUGUCGGAUUAGCUAGUUGGUGAGGUAAAGGGCUCACCAAGGCGACGAUCCGUAGCGGGUCUGAGAGGAUGAUCCGCCACACUGGGACUGAGACACGGCCCAGACUCCUACGGGAGGCAGCAGUGGGGAAUUUUGGACAAUGGGCGCAAGCCUGAUCCAGCCAUGCCGCGUGAGUGAAGAAGGCCUUC